GGUCAUUUGCCACAAGCUCCCAGAGGAGCCUUCUUGCCAGCCUCCUGCCUCAGGACUAUGGGCCCUGCAAUAUACCUUGCUCAAUGCACUUUAAAAGGCUCUGUUCAUGUGAUUUAUGUACUUUUGUACUCCAGAAAGAGAGACCGACCCUUAGCCUUGAUUCCCUGGAACUGUUUUGGGCAAAGGUCCAUGUGCACGGUCAAUCAAAUAUUUGACUUCCAUAAAAAUCUUGAACCGAUCUGGGUGAUUUUUGGAUAUGUUGGUCACCAAGAUCUGGGCUAUCAGUUGAUGUAACUUUUGUGAGGUUUUUAUGUGUCUUGGGGGUUUUGUUAUAUUGCCUGUUUCUGUACUGAGAGAUAAUUCAAUUAUAUGUUUGUGUGCUCAGGUAAUUAUCUCU